GUGAUUAACAGCUGCAGAGCUGCACUCAACACAGCCUCUCUGUAAUGUUUAUGCAAAUCUGCAUCUCCUCUUGUAAUAUUAGCAGCGUUCUGAUCUAGAGAGGAAACACUUCUCAUUAGUCUUCCUUCAACACAAACAUGUUUGCUUCAGCUCCACUGCUGCUGCUGGCUCUCGCCCCCUAUGUGUUCUGUGCUACUGAGCUCAUCCAGCCAGACUCACUGCUUAUAAAGCCAGGAGAGACUUUAACCAUCACCUGUAAAGUGUCUGGAGCUUCUAUCACUGAUAGCAGCAGCCACUAUGGAACAGCUUGGAUUCGACAACCUGCAGGAAAAGCUUUAGAAUGGAUCAACACCAUUUAUUAUAGUGGAAGUAUUGAUAAGAAAGAUUCACUUAAAGACAAGUUUGUGGUCUCUCGAGACACUUCCAGUAACUCCGUGACCUUACGGGGACAGAACAUGCAGACUGAAGACACAGCUGUGUAUUACUGCGCUCGUGUAACACACAGUGACACAACAAGCUGCAGUGCUGCACAAAAACCUCAUCACAAUUCACUUCUUUAAUUAAAUAACAACUAC